UACGUAGGUGGCUAGCGUUGUCCGGAUUUACUGGGCGUAAAGAGCGCGCAGGCGGUCGUUCAAGUCGAGUGUGAAAGCCCCCGGCUCAACUGGGGAGGGUCACUCGAUACUGAUCGACUUGAAGGCGGGAGAGGGAAGCGGAAUUCCCGGUGUAGUGGUGUAAUGCGUAGAUAUCGGGAGGAACACCAGUGGCGAAGGCGGCUUUCUGGCCCGUUCUUGACGCUGAGGCGCGAAAGCUAGGGUAGCAAACGGG
rnacentral:rRNA from 1 species